UGCCAAUAAUUUCUACUGUCAGUUGUGCUGUUAUGGCUGUCCGAUUUCUGGCGUAGAAAAUAAAUAGGGAGCUCGGAAAAAAUUGUGUUAAGAAUGGCUGCCGUUUUCCGUGUAGGCAUUGUACGCCUGUGUGGCCGUAAUGCAACUCCUGCAUUGCUGAAUACGCAGUCGGUGUCGCCGAUGGCUUUAACGCAGAAGUGCACAAUUAUGGGUAAAUCUAUGCGUGGUGGUCCUCGCAUACCAAAUGCACCUCCAUAUCCAUACAAGGAGAAGCGGUACACUGUACUCAAUUCGUUAUUUGAUAAAACAUCGAAGCGCAUGGACGAAAAUUCUAAAGUCAUCUGUGUUGAAGGACCAAUUGGUGCAGGCAAGAGCAAAUUUGCCAAAGAGUUGGCUGAUGAAUUGGAAAUGUGCUACUUUCCCGAAGUCAACUUGGACUUGAUAUAUAUCAACUCCUACGGAUACGAUAUGCGAAAGUUAGAUCCGCAGCUGCCAGAACUGUGUCGUUCCUACGAUGUGACGAAUUUCUGUCGUGAGCCCAAUCAUCCUUUGGCCGCACAGUUCCAAAUUCGCAUGUACAUGCUGAGAUAUUCGCAGUACAUAGAUGCCUUGCAACAUAUUCUUUCAACUGGUCAAGGUGUUGUUUUGGACCGUAGCUGUUAUUCAGAUUUCGUGUUCUUAGAAGCGAUGCAUAGAAAUGGUUACAUUUCUCGUGGUGCCUAUUCGGUAUACCACGAGAUUCGUGAAAAUACCAUUGGAGAACUUCUUAAGCCGCAUUUGGUAAUCUAUUUAGACUGUCCAGUCGAUGCCGUAAAGCAACGUAUUAAAGCUCGCAACAUUGACUACGAAGUCAAUUCUAAAGUGUUCACCGAUGCCUACUUAAAGGAUAUUGAAACAUUCUAUAAACAGCACUUCCUUAAAGAUAUCAGCAACCAUGCAGAAAUCUUAGUCUACGAUUGGACUGCUGGCGGAGAGACCGAAGUUGUUGUCGAAGAUAUCGAACGAAUUGAUUUUGGACAGUUCGAAAUUGAUCACCAUAAUAAGAAAAUGAAGGAUUGGCGUUUCCCGCUCGAAGCGGAGUGGUGUGAGGCGCGCAUUAAGUACUGUAACGAAAAGAGUACUUUGAUGAAUUAUUUCAACGUACCACGCUACGACGUUCCGGAAUUGGUGCGCGACGCUGAAAGCGGCAAAAUUUGGCGCGAUGUGUGGUACAACGCGCCUGGCAUGAAAUAUCGUCCUGGCUAUAAUGAAGAUAUGGGAGAUACAGGUUUGCUUACUAAAACAACUAUCGGUAUCAAUCAACCAUUCUAAGCUGUCGCCAAUUAUUUGUUAGUCAAAUAUUAAUAAAAAGAAAAGAACCGAAUGAAAUGAAAUGCUGUAUAAUAAGUAGCUAUGAAAAGAAUGCGAAAGGUUAAAAAGAAAAUAAUGUGUAGAAUAAUAAAUUAAAAUGCUGUUGGCGACUGUUUGUUGAACGCAGUUGUUUUUAAAAUUUGAAUGAAUGAAAUUCGCUGUGAGUUGCAUACCUAUACAAACUGAAAUUAACACUUUCAUCCUUAUACAACUAAAACCACACA